rnacentral:rRNA from 1 species
AUGCAUGUCUAAGUUCAGCGCCUGAAAAAGUGAAACCGCAAACGGCUCAUUAAAUCAGUCAUGGUUUAUUUGAUUGACCAUUGAAUUAGAUGGAUAACUGCGGUAACUCUGGAGCUAAUACAUGAUGAAUGUCAUGGCCUUUGGCCAGACCGACUUUUAUCUAGCCCGGACCCUUGUUGGGACUUCAGACUUGUUCUGUUGUCUUCCCGGGAGUCUCCGGAUAACUGCAUGACCGCAGAAGCCAAAGUGCUGGCGGCAUAUCUUUCAAGUGUCUGCCCUAUCAACUUUUGACGGUAGUGUACCGGACUACCGUGGUUGUGACGGGUAACGGGGGAUCAGGGUUUGAUCCCGGAGAGGGAGCCUGAGAGAUGGCUACCACAUCUAAGGAAGGCAGCAGGCGCGCAAAUUACCCAAUCCCCGAACGGGGAGGUAGUGACGAAAAAUAACAAUGCAAGGCCCUCUGGGUUUUGUGAUUGGAAUGGACGGGGCUUAAAAACCCCCGUGAGGAGCCAGUGGAGGGCAAGUCUGGUGCCAGCAGCCGCGGUAAUACCAGCCUCCACAAGCAUAUGCAAAUGUUGCUGUGUUUAAAAAGCUCGUAGUUGGAUCUGCUUGUGUUGCAAUCUAAUGCAAAGUGGGCCCCCACUUGUGGGGUGCUCCACGGUUGUUUGUGAUACACCUGAGCUGCCCAGAUUUCUUGCGCUUCAUUGCGUCGAGAUUUCGAAGGCAUCUAUAGUACUUUGACUAAAUUAGAGUGUUCAAAGCAGCCUUUGGGCUCUGAAUAACCGAGCACGGAAUAAUGGAAGAGGACUGAGGCCCAUUGGUCUGCAGGUGCUUCGGUAAUGAUUAAAAGGGACACUCGGGGGCAUUCGUAUUGCCGGGUUAGAGGUGAAAUUCUUGGAUCCUGGCAAGACGUCCUACUGCGAAAGCAUUUGCCAAGAAUGUUUUCAUUAAUCAAGAACGAAAGUCAGAGUAUUGAAGAGGAUUAGAUACCCUCGUAAUUCUGACCAUAAACGAUACCUACUUGCGAUCCGACAGUGUCCAUCGACCUGUUCGGGGAGCUACCCGGGAAACCAAAGUUCUUUGGUUCCAGGGGAAGUAUGGUUGCAAAGUCGAAACUUAAAGGAAUUGACGGAAGGGCACCACCAGGGGUGGAGCCUGCGGCUUAAUUUGACUCAACACGGGAAACCUCAUCAGGUCCAGACAUAGUGAGGAUUGACAGACUGUAUCUCUUUCAUGAUCCCAUGAUUGGUGGUGCAUGGCCGUUCUUAGUUAGUGGAUUGAUCUGUCUGCUUAAUUGCGAUAACGAACGAGAUCUCGGCCAUUUAAAUAGUGACGCGCAGCUUUGCUGUGGAGUUGCUUCUUAAAGGGACCAUGGUGAAUACGUACCCCAAGGAAGUGGGGCCAUAACAGGUCUGUGAUGCCCUUAGAUGUUCUGGGCCGCACGCGCGCUACACUGGCCGCCCUAAUAUGAUGUAAAGCCUAGUCCGAUAAGGUCUGGGUAAUCACUGAGGGGCGGCUUCGUGCUUGGGAUAGACUAUUGCAAUUAUUAGUCUUGAACGAGGAAUCCCUCGUAAGCAUCAGUCAUCAGCUGUUGCUGAUUACGUCCCUGCCCUUUGUACACACCGCCCGUCGCUACUACUGAUUGGAUGUUGAAGCGAGACCUAUUGAUCCCCGGCUCAUGGUUUUCGGACCUAGAGCUACGGGUGAAGCGGGUCAAGCUUUGGUGUCUA